AGUGAACGCUGGCGGUAGGCCUAACACAUGCAAGUCGAACGGCAGCACAGUAAGAGCUUGCUCUUACGGGUGGCGAGUGGCGGACGGGUGAGGAAUACAUCGGAAUCUACUUUUUCGUGGGGGAUAACGUAGGGAAACUUACGCUAAUACCGCAUACGACCUACGGGUGAAAGCAGGGGAUCUUCGGACCUUGCGCGAUUGAAUGAGCCGAUGUCGGAUUAGCUAGUUGGCGGGGUAAAGGCCCACCAAGGCGACGAUCCGUAUCUGGUCUGAGAGGAUGAUCAGCCACACUGGAACUGAGACACGGUCCAGACUCCUACGGGAGGCAGCAGUGGGGAAUAUUGGACGAUGGGGGAAAGCCUGAUCCAGCCAUACCGCGUGGGUGAAGAAGGCCUUCGGGUUGUAAAGCCCUUUUGUUGGGAAAGAAGAGCAGCAGGUUAAUACCCCGCUGUUCUGACGGUACCCAAAGAAUAAGCACCGGCUAACUUCGUG
rnacentral:rRNA from 1 species